UACGUAGGGUGCGAGCGUUAAUCGGAAUUACUGGGCGUAAAGCGUGCGCAGGCGGUUCUAUAAGACAGAUGUGAAAUCCCCGGGCUCAACCUGGGAACUGCAUUUGUGACUGUAGAGCUGGAGUACGGUAGAGGGGGAUGGAAUUCCGCGUGUAGCAGUGAAAUGCGUAGAUAUGCGGAGGAACACCGAUGGCGAAGGCAGCUCUCUGGACCGUUACUGACGCUGAGGCGCGAAAGCGUGGGGAGCAAACAGG
rnacentral:rRNA from 1 species